CCUACGGGGGGCUGCAGUGGGGAAUAUUGGACAAUGGGCGAAAGCCUGAUCCAGCCAUGCCGCGUGUGUGAAGAAGGCCUUCGGGUUGUAAAGCACUUUCAGUGGGGAAGAAAGCCUUGGGGCUAAUACCCUCGAGGAAGGACAUCACCCACAGAAGAAGCACCGGCUAACUCCGUGCCAGCAGCCGCGGUAAUACGGAGGGUGCGAGCGUUAAUCGGAAUUACUGGGCGUAAAGCGCGCGUAGGCGGUCUGAUAAGCCGGUUGUGAAAGCCCCGGGCUCAACCUGGGAACGGCAUCCGGAACUGUCAGGCUAGAGUGCAGGAGAGGAAGGUAGAAUUCCCGGUGUAGCGGUGAAAUGCGUAGAGAUCGGGAGGAAUACCAGUGGCGAAGGCGGCCUUCUGGACUGACACUGACGCUGAGGUGCGAAAGCGUGGGUAGCAAACAGGAUUAGAUACCCUGGUAGU
rnacentral:rRNA from 1 species